rnacentral:misc_RNA from 1 species
AUGUCUUUGGAAACAAUUGAACGGGCUUUAGCAGAAUUUUACUGCAAUCAAAAUAUAGAAGUUCAUAAAAUGUUGUUAGAAUUUCAAAAUUCUGUAGAUGCCUGGAAUCUCGUGUGGAAUAUGUUAGAUACAUCAAAACCACACGAGAUACAAUUUUUUGGUGCCACUACUCUUCAUAUUAAAAUUACUAAACAAUGGUUACAAUUGAAACAAUCAGAUUAUAUGCUUCUUAGAGAUAAAAUAAUGGACACACUUAUAAAAUACUAUAAUUCAACGGGACCAUCAAAUGUAACAAACAAAUUAUGUUAUUGUCUGUGUGCUUAUGUAGUUCGAACAGUACCAAAUCAUUGGCCAGAUGCUAUUCCACAAUUAAUGGAAACAUUUAGAAAUUCGUUAUCUCAAUCAUCAAUAAAUGUCAGUGUUAUGAUUUUAGAAAUUUUAAUGGCAUUACCUGAAGAGUUUGGUGCUACAACAUUAACUAAUACACGUCGAAACGAAGUGCGGAGUGAAUUAGAAAAAUCUUCAUUACAAGUAUUAUCUAUCGUGGAAAGUAUUCUUCAGAGCGACAGCUUGGAUCCAAUUGUGAUACAUGCUUUAAAAUGCGGUGCUUCUUGGUUAGAUAUAGGUUUUGAUCUAAUAAAAUGUCAUCGUCUGACUGAUACAUUUAUAUCUGUUAUUUUAAACUCUGAAAGAAGUCAAGAAUGUAUUCUAUUGGCUAUUGAUGCUUUAAAGUCAUUAUGUACACAUCCUCGAACAUCUGUAUGUGAAGCAACUGUUUUUGAAGUUUUAAGCAAAGUUAUCAUACUUUCUGAUAAAUUAUUUCAUUUAGAAAUAACGAAAGAACCAAAUGUUGUAGUAGAUAAACUUUUUGAUCUCUUUUUGGGAAUUGGUGAUCAACACUUUCGUCCAAUAGUACAAGGUCUCCUAAAUGAUAAUACUAGACAGUUGUGUACAAAAUUUUUCAAUUUAUAUUUAACUUGUACAAAUGCACCUGGAUAUUAUCCUGUAAAUGAAAACUAUAGCGAAAAAACAUUUACAUUUUGGUUUUUAUUACAAGAUGAUUUGUUAUCAAAUUAUGCUGGACCAGAUAAUGCAUUAUUAACUAUUGUUAAACCGUUGUAUAUAUCUUUAACUCAAGUAUUAUUAAAAAAAGUUGCUUAUCCAGAUAAUUUAGAAUCAUGGACUCCAGAUGAAAGAGAAUUGUUUCGGUGUUAUAGACAAGACAUAUCAGACACUUUUACUUACUGUUACUUUAUCUUACAGUCUGAAAUGUUAGAUGUAUUGUUAACAAUUUAUAAACAAGUUACCUGUGAUGCAAAAACUGCGAUUACUCAGUGGCAAACUGUAGAAGCAUGUUUAUAUGCUUUUACUGCAAUAGCAGAACCACUUCAAAAUCAAGAUUCACACCCUCAUAUAGAACAGCUUAUGUCAUCUUUAGGCUCUUUACCUUAUGAACAAUUAGAUAAAAAAGCUGCAGUUGCAGCUAUGGAUACUAUAGGAGCAUAUUAUUAUUGGAUGGAAACACAUCCAACCUAUUUAAAUUUGAUUGUACCUCUUCUCAUGAUGGGCCUACACAAUAGCAAUAUGUUUUCUUCUGCCUCUAUUGCUCUUAGAGAUAUUGCUAAAGAAUGCAAACAAACCAUAGCACCUUAUAAUGAUGUUAUAUUAAAUACAGCAAUGGUUGCAUUGAAACAAGUUAACAAGCUUAAAGAAGAACUUCGUCUAAUAUAUACUAUAGGAGUUAUUUUAUCAGCUAUGCCAUUUCCAAAAUGCAAACCAUCUUUAGAUAUGUUCAUUGAUCCUAGCUUAGAUGUUAUGAGGAAUAUAUUAAAUAUUGAGGACAAUGCUGAAUGUAAUAAACAUAGACCUGAGUUACAAAAAAGGAUUAAAGUUCUUGGUUCAUUGGUAUCAGCAAUUGACCAAAAAAAUACUGUUUACCAUAUAAUAGAAAUAACUACUCCUCUGCUUCAAAUGAUGGCAACAAAAUGUUUCAUUGCUUGUCCUGAAGAUAUAUUAUAUACUGGAGUUUGUGAGUUCUUAAAAACUGUGGUAUCUAAACUGCAAGAAGACUGUUCAAUGGCAUUAAGCAUAAUUAUUGAAAUUCUUAUGAUUGGAUUUAGAAAAUCUCCACAACCAGCUGGAAUUUUGCUUUUUAAAGAAAUUAUAAUAAUGUUUGGACGACAAGAAAGAUUUAUUCCACUUAUUAAAUCUACAUAUGAAGAAAUGUGUAUGAGAAUUAAAUUUAUGUUUGAACAAAUACCUGCAGCUGAUCAUGUUGGUCUUGGAGAUGUAAUGGAAUCUUAUUUAUCUCUUCAAGGACACAUAUUUAGAAAAUCGCAGUCAUUAAUUAUAGAUAAUACAAAUGUAGAUUUUGCAUUUGUUUUUAAAAUAGCAUGUGAAGCUUUAUGUGCUAACGAGAUAUUUUUGGCAAAAACUGCUACAUUUUUUUUAACUGCAUUUAUUACUAUUAGCAGAGAAAACAGACCAUUGUUUAAAGUUAUUGAAGAUAACGGCCAAUUCCUAGUUUUGAAAAUAAUAUGUAUUAUUAAAGGUGAUACAGUUAAAUCAAAUUUAGAUACAAUGUGUGAAGUUUUAUUGGUAUUGAACAAAAAAUAUAGUGAUAAUUUACGUGUAUGGUUUCAUGAUAUAAUAGUAGUACAGAAUAUAUUAUUGCCAAAUGUAACCGAAAAUAUGAAAUCUAAAUUUUUCAAAAGAGUACUUAGGGAAAAAACCAAUAGAAAAGCUUUACAAGAUGCAGUGAAAGAGUUUUCUUUUAUAUGUAGAGGAUUAAUUGAAGUAGAUCCCUACACUGAAUCAUGAAAAAAAUAAACAUAUUUUGUAUAAAAAAGGAUCAGAUUUUGAAUAUCUUGAUCAGUUGGCACAGGUGGAGGAUGUAUAUAACGAGAGCUACUGAACAUAGUUGAAAUAUCUUCAUCAUCACUGUCAACUUCUUCAAAAGCCUAAAAAAAAAAAAAUUUUCCAUAGCUAAUAAAAGACCAUCUUCUUCAUCCAUGUAUCCAUAGUAAUCUGCGUCUAUAUUUUUCAUAAGUUCAGCCCUAGUACGACGAGGCGGUGGAGGAGGUUCGUGUUCAAAAAGUUCUCUCACACCAGCCGCCUUCAAAUCUGUACAUUCAGUAGCCAAGUAUGGUCGUCGUUCUUCCUUGCCACCAUGUUCCUUCACUUGAGCUGCUCUCCAACGAGCCAGUGUAGUCCUGUAAAUUAUUAAAAGUACAAUAAAUUAUAAAUAUUUGUAAAUAUUCCAACUAGUCUUAAUAUGUGUUUACACAAAAUAGAUUUAACUAUUUUUCUGUGAUCUAUUAAUUUAAAUUAAUAUUAAAUAACUCAACAAAGAGUAAUUCUACUAA